AUGAGGCUGGUGAUUGGAGUAACUGUAUUUCUGAUCUUGGGGACUAUGACUGAUGCUAAAGCCACCCAGCCCAACUCCAUAGAUUCUGCUGAAGGAGGAACUGUAAACCUGCCUUGUAACCACUCUACUAUUGGCAGAAAUGAGUAUAUACACUGGUACCGGCAAAAGCCCAGUCAGAGUCCACAACAUAUAAUUUAUGGUUUACAAAACACUGUGACCAAUGAAAUGGCCUCUCUGACCAUCGCAGCAGACAGAAAGUCCAGCAUCUUGAUCCUGUCCCACGUCACCCUGAGAGACACUGCCAUGUACCACUGCAUCUUGAGAGAUGCACACUGGGACAGAUGGGGCUGCACCUGCACAGUAUCUCCCUAG